CCUCGAUUCUCUGUUUCACACAGUUUUUUUUUUCACCCUGGUUUCCUCCUAGGACUAUAGGCUUUCAUUUGACUCUCCUUGAACCUCAGUGUGCCUGGCUGCUUAGCCACUGCUGGUCCUGUCUUGUGAGAAUUAGGACCCUGCUUUACACAGAUGCUCUGGCUCGUGUGAGUUCGGUGGUGGGUUGAAGCACCCAGGCACUGGGGUAGAGGGACAGCUGCUCUACCUGGGGUAUGGGGACAUGUCUGUCGCCCCAGCACCCUUGGACCCUCCAGUUCUGGUCAUCAAGUCAAGCAAUCUUUUAAAAACUGAGCCUCAAAGUUGAAGCCUAAGAAGAGGUGGUGCCAAGAGGCAAUAUGAAGUCCUGUUGGGAUCCUGGAACAGACAAAGAAAUUAGAGCAGAGAGUGCCUCAUUCCUGAUAUCCACGCUGAACUCCUUCCAGCGGGUGUUGAAUGUCAGCACCUGCAGUGGUCAGUGACUUCAUUCUUGUUGUAUCGGAUGGUUUUUGAAAACCAGAAACAGAUGGACUAAUCCAAGCUCCUCAGAGCAGACGGCGUCUCAAGCUCCCUGCGUUGAGGAAUGGAGCUCCCCUGCAGAGAGCUGCAGCCGUGGAAUAAUUGACUCCAGCUCUGCCGUGGAAAGAACCCCCUGAGAACUUUAAACCAUUAGCCUUUCCACUGGCCCCAUGGUCAGCAACUGGUGGGAAGAUGUGUCCUCGUCUGAUCCUUGGGGUCACAAGCAUCACCCAGCUGCCAGACGUUGGGUAUCAUGGACCUGCUGGGGUGAUUCAGUAUCUACUGCAACUCUAGCUGGUGGAGAGCCUGCUUUCCCGUCCUGAGUUCCAGAGCCCAUUCUUUAUCCUCUGAAACCGUUCCUGAGACCUUCCAGGAACAUCCAGCUGAACCGGUGGUACCUGCCUCUCAAGAUACAGGAGAGAAGCUGAACCUCUUCCUCGUUAUCAAGAGAAGCAGAUUGCUGACUUUGGGGGACAAGCAAUAAACAACACUGGAACAAGCCUGCCUGGCAAGAAGCUGAACUCAACCACAGGCAGGUAGAAGAGGCAGAAUAAUGUAACACAACAAAAAUGGAACUGGAUUCAUAAAAGAGAUGGAGGGUGUAUCCUAGCUGACUACAUAUUAGGUAUGGGGCCUUAAGCCCUAGACAUAUGAAUGCUUUUAAAUCUUAUUGUCUUCAUCUGUAAAAUAGGGAUUAAAAAGAUCUUUCCCUUGUAGAGUAAGAAUUAAACAAGAGACCACCAAACUCCAUAAAAAUGUUGACCAUAUAUUCAUUCAAAAUAUUUAUGGACCACCUACUGUAUACCAAGCAGUGUUCUUGGC
ensembl:lncRNA